UGGGGAAUCUUGCGCAAUGGGCGAAAGCCUGACGCAGCCAUGCCGCGUGAAUGAUGAAGGUCUUAGGAUUGUAAAAUUCUUUUCACCGGGGACGAUAAUGACGGUACCCGGAGAAGAAGCCCCGGCUAACUUCGUGCCAGCAGCCGCGGUAAUACGAAGGGGGCUAGCGUUGCUCGGAAUUACUGGGCGUAAAGGGAGCGUAGGCGGAUAGUUCAGUCAGAGGUGAAAGCCCAGGGCUCAACCUUGGAACUGCCUUUGAUACUGGCUAUCUUGAGUUUGGGAGAGGUGUGUGGAACUCCGAGUGUAGAGGUGAAAUUCGUAGAUAUUCGGAAGAACACCAGUGGCGAAGGCGACACACUGGCCCAAUACUGACGCUGAGGCUCGAAAGCGUGGGGAGCAAACAGGAUUAGAUACCCAAGUAGUCCCUGAGCGGGCUGGCAAGGCGCAU
rnacentral:rRNA from 1 species